CUUAACUCAGUUUUGGAAGACCAAAUCCGGUCAGCACAAGUAAAGGAUGAAGAAAUAAAGCGGAUCAUCAGGAAGAUCUCCUUGAAGGAUGAAGGGUAUAAGCAUUUUCGACAAGAUAAGAUUGGGAAGGUGUAUUAUGGAAACUGACUGGUUGUACCAGCCGACCCUGACAUUAAGAAGCGGAUCUUAGACGAAGCUCAUCUCUCCAAGUUUUCAAUCCAUCCUGGCAGCAAUAAGA
rnacentral:lncRNA from 1 species